rnacentral:rRNA from 1 species
AGAAGGCUUUCGGGUCGUAAACUUUUGUCUUUCGGGAAGAAAAAAAUGACGGUACCGAAGGAGGAAGCCACGGCUAACUACGUGCCAGCAGCCGCGGUAAUACGUAGGUGGCGAGCGUUGUCCGGAAUUACUGGGUGUAAAGGGUGUGUAGGCGGGGAUGCAAGUCAGAUGUGAAAGACCGGGGCUCAACUCCGGGGCUGCAUUUGAAACUGCAACUCUUGAGUGCAGGAGAGGAAAGCGGAAUUCCUAGUGUAGCGGUGAAAUGCGUAGAGAUUAGGAGGAACACCAGUGGCGAAGGCGGCUUUCUGGACUGUAACUGACGCUGAGGCACGAAAGCGUGGGGAGCGAACAGGAUUAGAUACCCUGGUAGUCCACGCUGUAAACGAUGGAUACUAGGUGUAGGGGGUAUCGACCCCCUCUGUGCCGGAGUUAACACAAUAAGUAUCCCAC